UGCCCAGACUCCUACGGGAGGCAGCAGUGGGGAAUAUUGCACAAUGGGGGAAACCCUGAUGCAGCGACGCCGCGUGAGCGAAGAAGUAUUUCGGUAUGUAAAGCUCUAUCAGCAGGGAAGAAAAAAUGACGGUACCUGACUAAGAAGCACCGGCUAAAUACGUGCCAGCAGCCGCGGUAAUACGUAUGGUGCAAGCGUUAUCCGGAUUUACUGGGUGUAAAGGGAGCGCAGGCGGUACGGCAAGUCUGGAGUGAAAGCCCGGGGCCCAACCCCGGGACUGCUCUGGAAACUGCGUCGCUGGAGUACGGGAGGGGCAGGCGGAAUUCCAGGUGUAGGAGUGAAAUCCGUAGAUAUCUGGAGGAACAUCAGUGGCGAAGGCGACUAUCUGGCACAUAACUGACGCUGAGGAGCGAAAGCGUGGGUAGCAAACAGGAUUAGAUACCCGAGUAAA
rnacentral:rRNA from 1 species